GACGAACGCUGGCGGCAUGCCUAAUACAUGCAAGUCGAGCGAACAGAUGAAGUGCUUGCACUUCUGACGUUAGCGGCGAACGGGCGAGUAACACGUAAGGAAUCUACCUAUAAGCGGGGGAUAACAUUCGGAAACGGGUGCUAAUACCGCAUAAUAUCUUCUUCCGCAUGGAAGAAGAUUGAAAGACGGCUCUGCUGUCACUUAUAGAUGACCUUGCGGUGCAUUAGUUAGUUGGUGGGGUAAUGGCCUACCAAGACGAUGAUGCAUAGCCGACCUGAGAGGGUGAGCGGCCACAGUGGGACUGCGACACGGCCCAAACUCCGACGGGAGGCAGCAGUAGGGAAUCUUCCGCAAUGGGCGAAAGCCUGACGGAGCAAUGCCGCGUGAGUGAAGAAGGCCUUCGGGUCGUAAAACUCUGUUAUAAGAGAAGAACAAAUUGUAGAGUAACUGCUACAGUCUUGACGGUAUCUUAUCAGAAAGCCACGGCUAACUACGUGCCAGCCGCCGCCGUAA
rnacentral:rRNA from 1 species